rnacentral:lncRNA from 1 species
UUUCAAUUUUAAAAGUGGAUAUAAAGUUCUUUUCAAUUUUAAAAGUUGAUAUAAAGUUCUUUUUAAUAUUAAAAGUGGAUAUAAAGUUCUUUUUAAUUUUUUAUUUUCAUAUUAAUGAAAGAAAAAAUAUGAAUGAAUCAAGUUUUAAAGUAAUAUUUGAAGUGUACCAUCAAUUAUUAUUAAGAUAAUUAGAUAAUUCUUUUACUAUUAGCAAAGUUUGCUUACAAUAAUUUGGUAUAUUUUUCUACUUAAUAAACACCUUCUUUUAAAAAUUAUGGUUAUUAUCUAUAAUUUGAUACUUUUGACUUUUGAAAAAUUUAUAAUCAUAUGAUAGAAGAUUUGGCAAAUUAUUUGUCAGAGCUACAUGCAACAAUUAAGGUAUAAUUAAACAAAGCUAAAGAAUGAUAAAAAAUCAAUGUAGAUGGCUAUUGCAAGGAACAUCUAUAAUUCAACAUGGGUAAUAAGAUAUGGCAUAUGAUAUUAGCAGACAUACAUGGUAGCUAGUAAAGAAUCUUAUAAAUACGAUAAAAAAAAUUGAGGCUUUUUAUU